CCUGCCUAGGUUAUCCCUGUGGCUGUCAACUUGUGCUCAUCCGGCCUGAUUUUUCAGGCAUGUGAUGGAACCAGGGUAUACACGCACCCUGUUGUCUUUUUACUCCCACUACGGACCAGCAGAAUCCAAACUCUGAUCUCAACCACCCCUGAAGAAGCCUGACCGGGCGAAAUAUAUAGGGUUUACCAACCGGGUUGCGAUCUCUGUUAUAGUACUGAUGUCUGUUAUGGGAACCUUUUAACUUUGUACUCUUGAUCAGGUUGUUGAGUUGUGUAGUGGGCUCCUGUGAAGUCUAUGAUAUGCCUUACAACCUGACGCUACUCUGUUUUUUAAUAAAUCAUUAAAAUUUAUAUUAUUU